rfam:Schistosoma mattheei strain Denwood, Zambia genome assembly, scaffold: SMTD_scaffold0000219
CGGCCACUGAGGAGUCCCAUACUAGGACGAAACGGCCGUCCAGUGC